rnacentral:rRNA from 1 species
GGCCAGCAGCCGCGGUAAUACGUAGGGGGCGAGCGUUGUCCGAAUUCACUGGGCGUAAAGCGCGCGUAGGCGGGCAUUUAAGUUGUGGGUGAAAUCCCGAGGCUCAACCUCGGAGCUGCCUGCAAAACUGGGUGCCUGGAGGUAUGGAGAGGGAAGUGGAAUUCCUGGUGUAGCGGUGAAAUGCGUAGAUAUCAGGAGGAACACCCGUGGCGAAGGCGGCUUCCUGGCCAUAUCCUGACGCUGAGGUGCGAAAGCUAGGGGAGCGAACGGGAUUAGAUACCCCGGUAGUCCUAGCCGUAAACGAUGGAUACUAGGUGUUAGAGGUAUCGACCCCUCUAGUGCCGGAGCUAACGCAUUAAGUAUCCCGCCUGGGGAGUACGACCGCAAGGUUGAAACUCAAAGGAAUUGACGGGGGCCCGCACAAGU